rnacentral:rRNA from 1 species
ACACAUGCAAGUCAACUUGAAUUUGGGUUUUAACUUAGGUUUGGGUGGCGGACGGGUGAGUAACGCGUAAAGAACUUGCCUCACAGCUAGGGACAACAUUUGGAAACGAAUGCUAAUACCUAAUAUUAUGAUAAUAGGGCAUCCUAUAAUUAUGAAAGCUAUAAGCGUUGUGAGAGAGCUUUGCGUCCCAUUAGCUAGUUGGAGAGGUAACGGCUCACCAAGGCGAUGAUGGGUAGCCGGCCUGAGAGGGUGAUCGGCCACAAGGGGACUGAGACACGGCCCUUACUCCUACGGGAGGCAGCAGUGGGGAAUAUUGGACAAUGGACCAAGAGUCUGAUCCAGCAAUUCUGUGUGCACGAUGAAGUUUUUCGGAAUGUAAAGUGCUUUCAGUUGGGAAGAAAGAAAUGACGGUACCAACAGAAGAAGUGACGGCUAAAUACGUGCCAGCAGCCGCGGUAAUACGUAUGUCACGAGCGUUAUCCGGAUUUAUUGGGCGUAAAGCGCGUCUAGGUGGUUAUGUAAGUCUGAUGUGAAAAUGCAGGGCUCAACUCUGUAUUGCGUUGGAAACUGUAUAACUAGAGUACUGGAGAGGUAAGCGGAACUACAAGUGUAGAGGUGAAAUUCGUAGAUAUUUGUAGGAAUGCCGAUGGGGAAGCCAGCUUACUGGACAGAUACUGACGCUGAAGCGCGAAAGCGUGGGUAGCAAACAGGAUUAGAUACCCUGGUAGUCCACGCCGUAAACGAUGAUUACUAGGUGUUGGGGGUCGAACCUCAGCGCCCAAGCAAACGCGAU